GAUGAACGCUGACAGAAUGCUUAACACAUGCAAGUCAACUUGAAUUGGGUUUUUAACUUAGAUUUGGGUGGCGGACGGGUGAGUAACGCGUAAAGAACUUGCCUCACAGUUAGGGACAACAUUUAGAAAUGAAUGCUAAUACCUGAUAUUAUGAUUUUAAGGCAUCUUAGAAUUAUGAAAGCUAUAAGCACUGUGAGAGAGCUUGCGUCCCAUAGCUAGUGGAGAGGUAACAGCUCACCAAGGCGAUGAUGGGUAGCCGGCCUGAGAGGGUGAACGGCCACAAGGGGACUGAGACACGGCCCUUACUCCUACGGGAGGCAGCAGUGGGGAAUAUUGGACAAUGGACCAAGAGUCUGAUCCAGCAAUUCUGUGUGCACGAUGAAGUUUUUCGGAAUGUAAAGUGCUUUCAGUUGGGAAGAAAGAAAUGACGGUACCAACAGAAGAAGUGACGGCUAAAUACGUGCCAGCAGCCGCGGUAAUACGUAUGUCACGAGCGUUAUCCGGAUUUAUUGGGCGUAAAGCGCGUCUAGGUGGUUAUGUAAGUCUGAUGUGAAAAUGCAGGGCUCAACUCUGUAUUGCGUUGGAAACUGUAUAACUAGAGUACUGGAGAGGUAAGCGGAACUACAAGUGUAGAGGUGAAAUUCGUAGAUAUUUGUAGGAAUGCCGAUGGGGAAGCCAGCUUACUGGACAGAUACUGACGCUAAAGCGCGAAAGCGUGGGUAGCAAACAGG
rnacentral:rRNA from 1 species